rnacentral:rRNA from 1 species
AGCUAUUUAGGUAGCGCCUCGUGAACUCAUCUUCGGGGGUAGAGCACUGUUUCGGCUAGGGGGUCAUCCCGACUUACCAACCCGAUGCAAACUACGAAUACCGAAGAAUGUUAUCACGGGAGACACACGGCGGGUGCUAACGUCCGUCGUGAAGAGGGAAACAACCCAGACCGCCAGCUAAGGUCCCAAAGUCAUGGUUAAGUGGGAAACGAUGUGGGAAGGCACAGACAGCCAGGAUGUUGGCUUAGAAGCAGCCAUCAUUUAAAGAAAGCGUAAUAGCUCACUGGUCGAGUCGGCCUGCGCGGAAGAUGUAACGGGGCUAAACCAUGCACCGAAGCUGCGGCAGCGACACUAUGUGUUGUUGGGUAGGGGAGCGUUCUGUAAGCCUGCGAAGGUGUGCUGUGAGGCAUGCUGGAGGUAUCAGAAGUGCGAAUGCUGACAUAAGUAACGAUAAAGCGGGUGAAAAGCCCGCUCGCCGGAAGACCAAGGGUUCCUGUCCAACGUUAAUCGGGGCAGGGUGAGUCGACCCCUAAGGCGAGGCCGAAAGGCGUAGUCGAUGGGAAACAGGUUAAUAUUCCUGUAC